ensembl:lncRNA MUC20-OT1 MUC20 overlapping transcript
CCAAACUCCUGGGCUCAAGCAGUCCUCCUGCCUCAGCCUCCCAGAGUAUUGGGAUUAUAGGUGUGAGCCACUGCCAGAAAAACGUUUCCUAAGACAAGGCAGGUCUUACAUUAUAUUUAAAUUUUUUUUAAUGAUGUCUUUUUUGGCAGUGCACAGCCAGAGGACAACACAUCACACACAAGAAACAGUUGUGCUCAUGUGAUGGGGGCCUCAGCACUAGGAAGGAGUGGACUGUUGGCGCACGCAGCAGCUUGAAUAAAUCUGAAAGUCACUACGCUGCGUAAGAGAAGCCAAAUAAAGCGCAUGCUGUGUACAGAGGGUGUCGAGAAUGCCUCCUACGUGACGGAAAGCAGAUCCGUGGUUCCCUGCAGACUGGCAGGAGCAGAUUCCAAAGGCACAGGAAGAAGCUUGCAGUACAAAGAUAAAAAUCUAAAGUGGUUGCUGUGGAGGACAGGGGUCAGUGGUGGAAGUGAGACCGAAAUAGACUCUGAAGUAAUAUCUGGACUUUGAAAUUGCAGCUGCUCCCAACCCCAGAACCUUUGCUGUCUUGGGACGGAUCACCACUGCAAGAGGGGAAGUUGCUACUGUGAUGAAUUCUGCCAUGUGGCACCAGACUGCCACCCAGACCACAGUGUCCUCUGCAACCCUGCUUCUCAGAUGACCAAGAUGGUGCUGCAGAUGGUGCUGAGGAUGGAGAACCCACCAAGCCCCGCUAGGAGCCACCUAGACUGGAUGCAGAGCAUGGUUCAGCGAGUUCUCCAAACCAGCCUCCCAGGAAUGCCAUUCACCAUGGCUGUGAGGAGAAUAAAGAAGAGAGCCUGACUCCUCUCCUGAGGCCCCUUCCCCACCCUGAGCCAGCAGGAUCCAC